CAGCAGCCGCGGGAAUACGUAGGGGGCAAGCGUUAUCCGGAAUUACUGGGUGUAAAGGGAGCGUAGACGGUUAAACAAGUCUGAAGUGAAAUGCCGGGGCUCAACCCCGGAGCUGCUUUGGGAACUGUAGAACUGGAGUGUCGGAGGGGUAAGCGGAAUUCCCAGUGUAGCGGUGAAAUGCGUAGAUAUUGGGAGGAACACCGGCGGCGAAGGCGGCUUACUGGACGGCAACUGACGUUGAGGCUCGAAGGCGUGGGUAGCAAACUGGAUUAGAUACCCCCGUAGUCCCUGUCUCUUAUAC
rnacentral:rRNA from 1 species